UACGUAGGGUCCGAGCGUUGUCCGGAAUUAUUGGGCGUAAAGAGCUCGUAGGCGGUCUGUCGCGUCGGCUGUGAAAUCCCCAGGCUUAACCUGGGAACUGCAUCCGAUACUGGAUGGCUUGAAUUCGGGAGAGGGAUGCAGAAUUCCAGGUGUAGCGGUGAAAUGCGUAGAUAUCUGGAGGAAUACCGGUGGCGAAGGCGGCAUCCUGGACCGACAUUGACGCUGAACGGCGAAAGCUAGGGGAGCAAACGGG
rnacentral:rRNA from 1 species